rnacentral:rRNA from 1 species
AUUGAACGCUGGCGGCAUGCCUUACACAUGCAAGUCGAACGGUAACAGAUCUUCGGAUGCUGACGAGUGGCGAACGGGUGAGUAAUACAUCGGAACGUGCCUAGUAGUGGGGGAUAACUACUCGAAAGAGUGGCUAAUACCGCAUGAGAUCUACGGAUGAAAGCAGGGGAUCGCAAGACCUUGUGCUACUAGAGCGGCCGAUGGCAGAUUAGGUAGUUGGUGGGAUAAAAGCUUACCAAGCCGACGAUCUGUAGCUGGUCUGAGAGGACGAUCAGCCACACUGGGACUGAGACACGGCCCAGACCCCUACGGGAGGCAGCAGUGGGGAAGAUUGGACAAUGGGCGCAAGCCUGAUCCAGCAAUGCCGCGUGCAGGAUGAAGACCUUCGGGUUGUAAACUGCUUUUGUACGGAACGAAAAGCCCUGGGUUAAUACCCUGGGGUCAUGACGGUACCGUAAGAAUAAGCACCGGCUAACUACGUGCCAGCCGCCGCCGUAACAC